rnacentral:rRNA from 1 species
UGGGGAAUAUUGCACAAUGGAGGGAACUCUGAUGCAGCAACGCCGCGUGCGGGAUGACGGCCUUCGGGUUGUAAACCGCUUUCAGCCAUGACGAAGCUUUUGUGACGGUAGUGGUAGUAGAAGCACCGGCUAACUACGUGCCAGCAGCCGCGGGGAUACGUAGGGUGCGAGCGUUGUCCGGAAUUAUUGGGCGUAAAGAGCUUGUAGGCGGUUUGUCGCGUCGAUAGUGUAAACACGCAGCUUAACUGUGUGCCUGCUGUCGAUACGGGCUGACUAGAGGAGGGUAGGGGAGAAUGGAAUUCCCGGUGGAGCGGUGGAAUGCGCAGAUAUCGGGAGGAAAACCAGUGGCGAAGGCGGUUCUCUGGACCUUUCCUGACGCUGAGAAGCGAAAGCGUGGGUAGCAAACAGG